GCCACACGAUCGUGUGGUUCAUGUUCCAGAGAAAUCCGCGCUGUCAACCUGUUUUAAUGGUUUUCAGCGGGACAGACAGCCAGCAGUACUAUAUUUACAGCAAUUUUCGACAAUGGCAUCCAAAGACGCGCUUCCCAAAGUGAAAAGAGAACGUCUUGAAAGCCAGCAGGCUGAAGACCUGGCCACAGGUGGAGACAGAGAGAAGACAGAGGCAAAGAGUGCAAAGGCAAGAUUAAGAUUUGACUUUUUUAGAGCAGAGAUGCUGUGGAAAUUUAAUUUGUCACUGCAAUUA